AACAACAAAGCGACACAAGGUGCCCGGGGCGUUUCGCUGGCCGGGAGAAUAGGGAAGCAGGUGAGAAACCUGCGCGGGACCGCCGCCGUAAUGGAGGAGUUUGAGGUUCAUCGAUGCCACUGUGCGUACAGCAUGGGAAGGUAAGGAUCUCAAGCGUGGAUGCCAGAGCCGGAAGACCUGCCUUGCUGUUUGAAUACUG
rnacentral:ncRNA from 2 species